UGUGAUAGGAAUUGAACAAAAAUCUGCAAAUAAAAAGGAGCAAGGUCACAAAGUCGUCAUUUCACUACAGCAUAAAAAUGAGUGAGGAACUGGUUAAAAACACCGAAAAAAAUGAAGAUUUUGUUGCAAAAAGAAAUGCACCGUCGGCAGAAAGCAUGACGUCGACCAAAAACAGGGUGAAGCCAGAAUCUACACUGUCAGGCCCUGUGCCUCUGCUGGGUGAUUCUGUUCUCCCCAGCUUCAAAACCAUUGGCUGUAAUAUUGAAAAAUAACAUUACAUGAGAGAGGAAAGGUAUCUGCUGUAACUGACAAAUUAGCUAGACAGAGAGUAGCUUUUUAUUACACUUUUUUGACAGGUUUGAGCAUAUAUCAGCUUUGGUGGCAUGUUUUCACCCUGUUUACCUGUCAGUUGAGAAACUAACUCUGACUUUAUGUCAGAGGUUGGGAGGGAACAUGGGUGCAGGUUGUCUCGGGCAAAAGAAUCAGAUGACUGGGUUUAUCAGGAUGAUUUAUACUGCUUGCCCUUCAAUUUCUAUGAUUUGUAGAUAUUGGUAUGUUCUGUUUUUGUGGUUUUUUUCGCUCCAGUAACCUGAGUGUCGGUGUUGACACCAGUCCCAAGUCUCUUAAU